AUGAAUGCUGGCGGCGUGGAUAAGGCAUGCAAGUCAAGGGGGCCCGCAAGGGCAACCGGCAGACGAGGUAGUAACACGUAGGUACUCCCCUCGAAGUCUGGAAUAGCUCACCGAAAGGUGAGGUAAUACCGGAUGGUCUCGAGAGAGUAAAGAUUUAUCGCUUCGAGAGAGGCCUGCGUAAUAUCAGCUUGUUGGUGAGGUAACGGCUCACCAAGGCUACGACGUUUAGGGGAACUGAGAGGUUGACCCCCACCGAUGGGACUGAGACACGGCCCAUACUCCUACGGGAGGCUGCAGUCAAGAAACUUCCGCAAUGGGCGAAAGCCUGACGGAGCGACGCCGCGUGCUGGAUGAAGUGCUUCGGUACGUAAACAGCUUUUAUGUGGGACGAAAUUAUUGACGGUACCACAUGAAUAAGGGGCUCCUAACUCUGU
rnacentral:rRNA from 1 species